rnacentral:rRNA from 1 species
GACGAACGCUGGCGGCGGGCUUAACACAUGCAAGUCGAACGGAAAGGCCCUGCUUUUGUGGGGUGCUCGAGUGGCGAACGGGUGAGUAACACGUGAGUAACCUGCCCUUGACUUUGGGAUAACUUCAGGAAACUGGGGCUAAUACCGGAUAGGAGCUCCUGCUGCAUGGUGGGGGUUGGAAAGUUUCGGCGGUUGGGGAUGGACUCGCGGCUUAUCAGCUUGUUGGUGGGGUAGUGGCUUACCAAGGCUUUGACGGGUAGCCGGCCGGAGAGGGUGACCGGCAACAUUGGGACUGAGAUACGGCCCAGACUCUGAGGGUAGGCAGCGGUGGGGAAUAUUGACAAAGGGGGGGAAGCUUGAUGAAGCACCGCGGCGUGCGGGAGGACGGCUUUCGGGUUGUAAACGGCUUUCGCCUGUGACGAAGCGUGAGUGACGGUAAUGGGUAAAGAAGCACCGGCUAACUACGU